GAUGAACGCUAGCUACAGGCUUAACACAUGCAAGUCGCGGGGUAACAUCUGGUAGAGCUUGCUCUUCCAGGAUGACGACCGGCGCACGGGUGAGUAACGCGUAUCCAACCUGGCCCAUACCACGGGAUAGCCCGUCGAAAGGCGGAUUAAUACCGUAUGCUGUCAUUAAGAUGCAUAUAUUGAUGACGAAAGGACUGGCGGUAUGGGAUGGGGAUGCGUCUGAUUAGCUUGUUGGCGGGGUAACGGCCCACCAAGGCGACGAUCAGUAGGGGUUCUGAGAGGAAGGUCCCCCACAUUGGAACUGAGACACGGUCCAAACUCCUACGGGAGGCAGCAGUGAGGAAUAUUGGUCAAUGGGCGCAAGCCUGAACCAGCCAAGUAGCGUGAGGGAUGACUGCCCUACGGGUUGUAAACCUCUUUUGUUUGGGAAUAAAGUGCGGGACGCGUCCCGCAUUGCAUGUACCAUUUGAAUAAGGACCGGCUAAUUCCGUGCCAGCAGCCGCGGUAAUACGGAAGGUCCGGGCGUUAUCCGGAUUUAUUGGGUUUAAAGGGAGCGCAGGCCGUGGGUUAAGCGUGUCGUGAAAUUCCGUCGCUCAACGGCGGACGUGCGGCGCGAACUGGUCCACUUGAGUACGCGGGACGUUGGCGGAAUUCGUGGUGUAGCGGUGAAAUGCUUAGAUAUCACGAAGAACUCCGAUUGCGAAGGCAGCAUACGGCAGCGCUACUGACGCUGAAGCUCGAAAGCGUGGGUAUCGAACAGG
rnacentral:rRNA from 1 species